AACACAGACAUAGACGAGUGUAAACAGUUUCAUCUUUGUCAAAAUGGUGCGACUUGUAAUAAUACCGAUGGUCACUUUCAAUGCAUUUGCCUUGCUGGUUGGAGCGGUACACUUUGCGAGAUUGAUGUAGAUGAGUGCUUAACAAAUCCAUGUAAGAAUAAUGGUACGUGUUCCAACUUGCCUGGGGGAUAUAACUGCUCAUGCACAUCAGGAUGGACCGGAAUUAACUGUGACAUAGAUUUAGACGAGUGUGCGAUAUUUAACUCUAGAGGGCUUCUGUGUCACAAUGGUGCUACUUGUAUAAACGAAAUUGGUGCCUUCAAAUGUAACUGUAGUGAAGGAUGGACAGGACGACUUUGCGUGGACGAUGUGGAUGAAUGCUUAGUCAACCCUUGUUUAAAUAAUGCAGCCUGUAGCAACACGCAUGGCGGUUAUAAUUGCAAAUGUAGGUCCGGUUGGACUGGCGCGUUAUGUGACACAGAGGUAACAACACAGGUUGACCACUGUUCAAGCAGUCCGUGCAAAAAUGGUGGACUUUGUAUCAGUAACCAGCAGGGCUAUUCAUGUUAUUGUUCCGGUUGGUAUGGAAAUAAUUGUGAAAUAG